rnacentral:tRNA from 1 species
AAAAUUUAGUUAAUUUAUAUAUAACAUUAACUUGUCAAGUUAAAAUAAUUUUUAAAAUAAUUUUCU